CCUACGGGUGGCAGCAGUGGGGAAUAUUGCACAAUGGGGGAAACCCUGAUGCAGCGACGCCGCGUGAGUGAUGAAGUAAUUCGGUAUGUAAAGCUCUAUCAGCAGGGAAGAAAAUGACGGUACCUGAGUAAGAAGCCCCGGCUAACUACGGGCCAGCAGCCGCGGGAAUACGUAGGGGGCAAGCGUUAUCCGGAUUUACUGGGUGUAAAGGGAGCGUAGACGGCAGUGCAAGUCUGGAGUGAAAGGCGGGGGCUCAACCCCCGGACUGCUCUGGAAACUGUACGGCUGGAGUGCAGGAGAGGUAAGUGGAAUUCCUAGUGUAGCGGUGAAAUGCGUAGAUAUUAGGAGGAACACCAGUGGCGAAGGCGGCUUACUGGACUGUAACUGACGUUGAGGCUCGAAAGCGUGGGGAGCAAACAGGAUUAGAUACCCCGGUAGUC
rnacentral:rRNA from 1 species